UCGAGUCGGUGUGACAGCGCACGUCAGCGACGGCAAUGGACAGAUGAAUGACGUGAAAUACGAAAUUGAGUGCUGGCGCGGCCACAGGGGCAACGGAAAUGCUGUGACGGUGAAGACGAAGUAUAAAGCGAAAAUUUGAAGCCGCAACCAAAACUUUCAUUGCAAUUGUGGCGCGCCGCCUGUCAACGUCAUUCAUUAAAGGCAAACCGAGCCGGAGCAGAAGAUGGAAACAAUGGGAGUGCAGAGCAACGAACAUCUUCAAGGGGCAAUCGAGGUGCAAUGGUUGCGAAGACGUCAGCAAGUGAGCAGAUGCGCUGCGCUUUUAAAGAUCUACGCAAUGCAUAGACUAAGCGAGCGAACGAGAAGAAAAUCGACUGAAAAUUCUGGCUAAAAAUACAUCAGCGCGCGCACUGACAAAGGUACGUUAAGUAAAAAUAAAUGA